rnacentral:rRNA from 1 species
ACGAACGCUGGCGGCGUGCUUAACCCAUGCAAGUCGAACGGAAAGGCCCUGCUUUUGUGGGGUGCUCGAGUGGCGAACGGGUGAGUAACACGUGAGUAACCUGCCCUUGACUUUGGGAUAACUUCAGGAAACUGGGGCUAAUACCGGAUAGGAGCUCCUGCUGCAUGGUGGGGGUUGGAAAGUUUCGGCGGUUGGGGAUGGACCCGCGGCUUAUCAGCUUGUUGGUGGGGUAGUGGCUUACCAAGGCUUUGACGGGUAGCCGGCCUGAGAGGGUGACCGGCCACAUUGGGACUGAGAUACGGCCCAGACUCCUACGGGAGGCAGCAGUGGGGAAUAUUGCACAAUGGGCGGAAGCCUGAUGCAGCAACGCCGCGUGCGGGAUGACGGCCUUCGGGUUGUAAACCGCUUUCGCCUGUGACGAAGCGUGAGUGACGGUAAUGGGUAAAGAAGCACCGGCUAACUACGUG